rnacentral:rRNA from 1 species
UAAGGAAUAUUGGACAAUGGAGGCAACUCUGAUCCAGCCAUGCCGCGUGAAGGAAUAAGGCCCUAUGGGUUGUAAACUUCUUUUAGACGGGACAAAACCCCUUUACGUGUAAAGGGUUGAUGGUACUGUCAGAAUAAGCAUCGGCUAACUUCGUGCCAGCAGCCGCGGUAAUACGAAGGAUGCAAGCGUUAUCCGGAAUUAUUGGGUUUAAAGGGUGCGCAGGCGGAUUGGUAAGUCAGGGGUGAAAUCCCACAGCUCAACUGUGGAACUGCCUUUGAUACUGUCAGUCUAGAGUAUAGUUGAAGUUGGCGGAAUGUGUCAUGUAGCGGUGAAAUGCUUAGAUAUGACACAGAACACCGAUCGCGAAGGCAGCUAGCUAAGCUAUAACUGACGCUCAUGCACGAAAGCGUGGGGAUCAAACA